rnacentral:rRNA from 1 species
UCUAAUGGUCCAUUUGACUUGGACAAUUUACUUUGACAACUUGACCUCAAAUCAGGUAGGAUUACCCGCUGAACUUAAGCAUAUCAAUAAGCGGAGGAAAAGAAACUAACAAGGAUUCCCCUAGUAACUGCGAGUGAAGCGGGAAAAGCUCAAAUUUAAAAUCUGGCAGCCUUUGGUUGUCCGAGUUGUAAUCUAGAGAAGCGACAUCCGCGCUGGACCGUGUACAAGUCUCCUGGAAUGGAGCGUCAUAGAGGGUGAGAAUCCCGUCUUUGACACGGACUACCAGGGCUUUGUGAUGCGCUCUCAAAGAGUCGAGUUGUUUGGGAAUGCAGCUCAAAAUGGGUGGUAAAUUCCAUCUAAAGCUAAAUAUUGGCGAGAGACCGAUAGCGAACAAGUACCGUGAGGGAAAGAUGAAAAGAACUUUGGAAAGAGAGUUAAACAGUACGUGAAAUUGCUGAAAGGGAAACGCUUGAAGUCAGUCGCGUUGGCCGAGAAUCAGCCUUGCUUUUGCCUGGCUUACUUCGCGGUUCAACGGGUCAGCAUCAAUUUUGACCAUUGGAUAAAAGUCUUGGGAAUGUGGCAUCUUCGGAUGUGUUAUAGCCCUUGGUUGCAUACAGUGGUUGGGAUUGAGGAACUCAGCACGCCGCAAGGCCGGGAGCAAUCCACGUUCGUGCUUAGGAUGCUGGCAUAAUGGCUUUAAUCGACCCGUCUUGAAACACGGACCAAGGAGUCUAACAUGCCUGCAAGUGUUUGGGUGGAAAACCCAUGCGCGCAAUGAAAGUGAAAGUUGAGAUCCCUGUCGUGGGGAGCAUCGACGCCCGGACCAGACCUUUUGUGACGGAUCCGCGGUAGAGCAUGUAUGUUGGGACCCGAAAGAUGGUGAACUAUGCCUGAAUAGGGUGAAGCCAGAGGAAACUCUGGUGGAGGCUCGUAGCGAUUCUGACGUGCAAAUCGAUCGUCAAAUUUGGGUAUAGGGGCGAAAGACUAAUCGAACCAUC